rnacentral:rRNA from 1 species
GAUGAACGCUGGCGGCGUGCUUAACACAUGCAAGUCGAACGAUGAAGCCCAGCUUGCUGGGCGGAUUAGUGGCGAACGGGUGAGUAACACGUGAGUAACCUGCCCUUGACUCUGGGAUAAGCCUGGGAAACUGGGUCUAAUACCGGAUAUGACCUCUCAUCGCAUGGUGGGGGGUGGAGAGAUUUAUUGGUCUUGGGUGGACUCGCGGCCUAUCAGCUUGUUGGUGAGGUAAUGGCUCACCAAGGCGACGACGGGUAGCCGGCCUGAGAGGGUGACCGGCCACACUGGGACUGAGACACGGCCCAGACUCCUACGGGAGGCAGCAGUGGGGAAUAUUGCACAAUGGGCGCAAGCCUGAUGCAGCGACGCCGCGUGAGGGAUGACGGCCUUCGGGCUGUAAACCUCUUUCAGUAGGGAAGAAGCGAGAGUGACGGUACCUGCAGAAGAAGCGCCGGCUAACUACGUG